GAUGAAGCAAGUCUAUGAAAACAUAUGUGCUGUCAAGACACCACAGGGCUGUGGAUCUCUUGAUGCGCUGAGGCUUUCGGACUUGAUGAAUGCAGACAUAUGAUCGAACACAUGUCUCCUUUAUUGUUGCCUUCUUUGUUGAGGCUCGCAGGGUAUUAUUUGUAUGUACUGUUAUGCCGUGUAGUAGUGUCGUUUUGAGGCAAGUAAUAGAAGCCUAAUUGGAAACAGGAUCUUGAAGCUGUGAUGAGGCGUCUAUAAUAAAGUUGUUGAGAAAUAUUAAUUGAUUAU
rnacentral:lncRNA from 1 species